rnacentral:rRNA from 1 species
UGGGGAAUCUUCCGCAAUGGACGAAAGUCUGACGGAGCAACGCCGCGUGAGUGAAGAAGGUUUUCGGAUUGUAAAACUCUGUCUUUUGGGGCGAACGUGAGUAUGGUGAACAAUCAUAGUCAGUGACGGUACCAAAGGAGGAAGCCACGGCUAACUACGUGCCAGCAGCCGCGGUAAUACGUAGGUGGCAAGCGUUGUCCGGAAUUAUUGGGCGUAAAGAGCGCGUAGGCGGGAUAGUCAGUCUGUUGUAAAAGUGCGGGGCUCAACCCCGUGAUGGCAAUGGAAACAGCUAUUCUUGAGUGCAGGAGAGGAAAGUGGAAUUCCCAGUGUAGCGGUGAAAUGCGUAGAUAUUGGGAGGAACACCAGUGGCGAAGGCGACUUUCUGGACUGUGUCUGACGCUGAGGCGCGAAAGCCAGGGGAGCGAACGGGAUUAGAUACCCCGGUAGUCCUGGCCGUAAACGAUGGGUACUAGGUGUGGGAGGUAUCGACCCCCUUCCGUGCCGGAGUUAACGCAAUAAGUACCCCGCCUGGGGAGUACGGUCGCAAGACUGAAACUCAAAGGAAUUGACGGGGUCAUAGCUG